rnacentral:tRNA from 1 species
GUCCCCGUCGUCUAGCCCGGCCCAGGACACCGCCCUUUCACGGCGAUAACACGGGUUCAAAUCCCGUCGGGGACGCCA